AAAUGCUUCAGAGCAACAGCUAAGAAAUUCUUUCCAUAUCUGCUGUUAAUUAGUAACUGCUUAUUUACAUCUAGGAAAGGCAAACACUGGUCUGCCUCUUCUGGAGUGCCGUGCUUCAGGAUUAGCGACAGACAGACCUUCUGCAGCUCACGACAUUUACCUACUGUAUUUUCUUUAACAGCUGAAGUAAUGACAUCUUAUUGACAGCACAGCAGAGCAAACAAUGUCUUACUGAAAGCUUCAGUGCUGGAUUUGGGCCGUCCUAAGGACCUGAGACCAAGUAAAGUAAGCAGGUUUUGCUACUGAAUGAAAGACAAUGACUGUUCUAGUUCACCGGUGGCCUUUAGCACUCCUAGACACAAAAAAGAAUCAUAGAACGGCCUGGGUUGAAAAGGACCACAAUGAUCAUCGAGUUUCAACCCCCCUGCUAUGUGCAGGGUCACCAACCACCAGACCAGGCUGCCCAGAGCCACAUCCAGCCUGGCCUCGAAUGCCUCCAGGGAUGGGGCAUCCACAACCUCCCUGGGCAACCUGUUCCAGUGUGUCACCACCCUCUGAGUGAAAAUUUGAGUCUAUUCAUAGUUCAGAAGUGGGUUACCAUCUGAGAUUAAAAAUUUUAACUGUCAAAGAGAGUUGAUUUUAAGAUUUUCAUUCCCCUUUUAGGUGAAUUUUAGUGUUUAUAUCUGCCAGGAAUGUGGGUUUGGUUUUUAUCCUUGCUGCUCCUGAGCUUUGAGGAAAACCUGAUCAGCACUUUAUACUUUAUUUUUUUUUUUAGUAAUUUAUAGAAGGAUGGAAAGACCCAUUGCUUUUAUAUCAUUGAGUAAAAAAAAAACUACGUAGGUACCAAGUGUUUCUUUUGUUUUGCACAUGUAAAUGUAAGUGUUUAGAGGGAUUUUUAGAUGAUCAUAGAUGUGCUUUUGGAUCUAAUUCUUAAGUAUGUACCAAAUGUGACUUAACAAAUUUUCAAGAUUGUAAGUUGGAGAAAAGCACAAUAUGUAAUGACCUUACCUUCAACACAAAUGAACAGACAACACUCGAGUACUCCCUUUGGAUACUUAUUUUGGACACUUGGCUCACUUGCAGUGUCUGCAAAAUUUUCUGAUACACAUUUCACGUUUGUUAGUGGUGAUUUUAGACUACAGAUAUGAGCAGAAGGUGCUGCAGGAGGCAAAGCACUAACCCACACUGCUUUGGAUUUCUUCUCGAAUCUCCUUUCCUCAUUGCAAAACCAGACCGGUUUUAAUCACUCUAGCACAAGUGUGCAGUGCCUCGGGAUAGCCCGGGGUGAGCUGUGCUCCCGCUGCAGGAAUUGCUGUGCGCUGCCCGCUCCUGGCACCAUGGGGGCCCUGCAGCACCACAUGGCCUCUGAAGGCAUCUUCCAGUCUUGGAGGGUUUUCUGACCCCAUGCUGUGCUGCCAGCAGAGCCAUCUCUUUUGGAAGUUUUUUAAAUUAUCCCGGGUACUGCUGACUGGAAAGUUUUCAACAGUACGUAUUCUUUUCAGAAAAUGAAGUAAAAUAAAAUAAAAUAAAAUAAAAUAAAAUAGAAUGCCAGUUCAUCAAAAAAGGAACUUUAAACAGAAGUCUGUUGAGAGCAAAAUGAGAGAGAUGAGACAAAGAUCAUUUUCCUUCGAGAAAGUGGAAUUUCUGCUCUAGUCAGGAGAGACUGAAAGCCCCGGCCCCGCACAGCAGCAUCCUUACCUGCAAUAACCAUUACCUUCACAUCUGUGCAACUCAUCUGGCAGAAACAGCCUGGGGUUGAGUCCCCGACACACAGAAUCCAAAUUAGAUCUGUUAUUUCUACAGCCAGAUAAGAAGGCGAUGCUGCUACAAUGGCCCACCACACCAUCAAUCUCAAUGCUGCGCUUUCCCCAGUCGCACUUGCAUUCCUGUGUUGAAAGAACCACUGCAGCACUGCAAGAUCUGUCUUUGUUCCACAUUUUCUCAUAUAUUAAUAUGUUGGAUGCCAUUAUCCUGGGGAAAACUGGCUGUUUGCAAGAGCUCCAUUUCAGUAGUAGCUUUUCAAGACUUUUUUGGUCGUACAACUUAAAAAUCAUACCAUCAAUAGCAUUUCUCAUAAGAUGGAUGCCACCAGCCCACAAACACCCUCUGUGAUGGCCAUUUGGAGACAUGAGGAGGUCACAGCCACCAUGAGAUACCCUUGCAGAGCUGGCAGCACUAGGGCUGACGUUGCAAUCCCCAUGAAGGUAGCCCUGAGGUGGUCAGUGGAUGGAGGGUCUAACCCUAUCCUUUUGGGUCUAACCACAGCUGCCAGGAGAUGUUUUUGAGCCUUCAUUUUCAAGUUCCCCACAGCAUCCACAGUACCACUGGUAUGCAGCAUAUGGCCUGUGCAGUAACAAAUUAGGAGAUUUUAAAGGGACUUUUCUAAGCUUUGUGACUCACCCAGAACCAGGUGAUGCUGUCAUCUUCCCAAAGUUAAACUUGUUCCCUCACACUUUUGUGAUCUGGGUAUGUAUCUCUUGGACUAGUAAAUGGUAAUUUA
ensembl:lncRNA